AGUCUGAUGUUUGUCCGUGUACAACGCGCGCAGGGAUGACACUCCCUGAUAUGAGGUGUGCACGAGGUCGCGCGCACUCUUCCGACAAGUUGCACAUAUAUAUACGUACAUGUAUAUAUUUAUAUGUAUAUAUAUUUAUAUACAUAUCUAUAUAUAUAUUGAUACAUAUAUGUACAACGAGGGUGCAAACAUCAAGUUAUACAAAACUUGUACGACGCGUUUCUCAGUACUUUGUACACUGAUAAUACAAGACUUUAUAAAGGAGGAAAAAUUGUCAGCGGAAGAUAUCAGGGGAAAUUUCGAUGCUAAUUUUCCAAUGGAAAAUCUGAAUUACUCUCCAGGAGCCAGAAAUAAGAAAUAUCUAGAGUCGGUGUCGUACUGAACGCUGACUCGAAUCACUUCCACUAUCACUCGUGUCGGUAUAAAAGGAUGCUAAGAACCCGCUGCAGGUAAAUACGAGCCCUGUCGGCAAGAAAGAUCUACUGGCGGUACAACAGCCGGUUCGGCUGUUAGCAGAUAAUUUUUUUUCUCUGCUGUCAGUUGCUACAGUAAUUACACUUGAUAAUUGAAUUAUGAAAUUAAGUGAACUAAAAAUAUUGUAAUUAAUAAAAAAUUAGUUGGAUAAAUGUGAGCAAAUUUUUAUAACCGGGUUACGAAAACGAGAAAAUUUGAUUGGUAGUUAAAAAUUAAUUAAAAUUUUAAUUUAAUUAUUAAGUAUCCAUUAUAUUUCUGUCGUAGAAUGAGAUUAUAAAAAAAAAAUUACUUGAGAGUUAUUUGCGUGAAUAUAAAUGCAAUUACUUUGUAUAGAGAAAUCAUUAUGAUGGAAAAAAGCGAUCUACGAUAUAAAUUGCAAUGAAAAUAAAAAAUUGAUUGUUAUUUUAAUUCAAGUUUUUUUUAUGACAGUAAAGUUGGCAAACCUCUGACAAUUUUUGAAAUUUUUAAAUAAUAAAAUGAAAUUGAUUUAACGAAAAAUUUAACAAAUGGACUUUCCGAAAAUUAUAAAAUCAGUACAUGCAUUUUUUUUUAUAUUAUCAAUUUAAUUUUUCAAUUUUUUUAUAUGUAAUUUAAAAAUUGUCUUAUGUCUGCUACAUUUACACUCAUGUUUUUUUUAUCGACGAGAUAUUUUGAAUAAUGCCAUUGAAAAAUGAAAAAUGGUCAAAUGGAAGUAUUGUAAUUAAUUUUGAAUGAUUAUAGUAAGCGAUUUUAAAUUUACAAGUGCGAUAUUUUCGUAGUUUUUUUUGUUUUGUGCGAAAAAUAUCUCAAGCAUCGCAUCAGAGAUGUCUGUUAAAGAGUGAUUGAUAUCUGAAUCUGGUUAGACGGCAUGUGGGUUAUUAAAAGUACAGAAAAUAAAAGACUGAAAACACAUACUCGGAUAAGUGGAUACGGGUACAGUGUUCGUAUCACAAAAAAUUAUAAUGAGGAUUAUAAAAAAACUGUGUAGUUUUUUAUUAAUAAUCUACUGAGUAGCGGAAAAAAUUGAAUAAUAAAUUAAAAUUAGACAUCGGACAAAGUAAAAUCAAAUAAAAAAUAAAAUACACAUUUGAAUUUACUCAGUUUUUUACACAUACCCAACAGUGUUCUUGUGGAGCUUGCAAACAGAAUUUUAAAUCAAAAGAAUUCAAACUGAAUAGUAUAAAGGGCAUAAUUUCUAAGUCGUUUGAAGCCUUUUUUUUUAUAAUUUAACGACUUAAUUACAAAUAGAAAACGUUUUUCAUUCAAAAAUAUAAAGAAAAUAUAAAUCUUCGAAUUUCUGUCAAUUUUUAAGUCUAUUACGUGUCUAAUUGGGUAACUUGGUUAUUUUUUCAAUGGUUUUAAGAAGCAGUGAUUAAUAAAUUAUGAAACUGAAGUUAGCAGACAAUUAAAAAUCGUAUAUUUUUUUUUAUGAUAGUAAAG